CGACGCCGCCAGCUGAUCGGAGACUGGAGCCGGUGUGUGCUGGGCGCUGGGAAGAGACAGAGCGGUCGGCCGUGCGGAGCGGUCGCAGUGAUUUUGCUCCUCUGUCCUCAGCAACCCCCGCACCCAGCAUCAGGAACCUGUGCCUCCCACACGCUCACCUGGCUGAGCCGCAGUAGUUCUUCAGUGGCAAGCUUUAUGUCCUGACCCAGCUAAAGCUGCCAGUUGAAGAACUGUUGCCCUCUGCCACUGGCUUCGAGGAGGAAGAGGAGGAGCAGCUUCUUUGCCUAUCAUCUGGAAGGCUAGUGAGACUCUGCUCAAUACUGUGCAGGCAAGAAAUUGUCUCCUGCAGCCAAGAGGGGAGAUGGGUUGUGUGAUAUGAGUCCCUUCUGCUGCUUCUAGCUCCUGAUUCAUUCUCAUGUAUGGGCUUGGUCUCUGAUUGUGGUUCACCUUUGGCCCAGUCUUCCUAACAGAAGAUGGGUUCAGGGGGUACAGGAAGCUGUUUGUUCUAUUUGGCAGGAGGAGGAGUUCUAGCCAUUUAUGAGAAACUGAAAGUCCUAGGGGAUACUAGAUUAUCUAAUCCAGCCCCACCACUGCAGUCUAAGAUGAGGGAUAGAAUGAGUAAGGGACUGUAGCAGAUGGGGUGGGGAGGCUGAGUCUGCUCACACACUGCAACAAAGAUUGCCCUGUCCCUCGACCUCGCUUUCUUUCCUCCUCACUUCACUGGCCACAGUGUGUCCCUCCAGCACGGGGUGCAUGGCUCUGCUGUCUGUCUUCAUCCAACAUGGAACCUCAGAGGUGAGGAAGGUCAGCCUGCAAACAACAGAGGCAGGCAGAAGUCCAGUGGAGGAUGGGGCCUGCAGCCACAAGGGCCUACCUGGACCUUGGUCAGAGGGCCACAUAGAAGCCUGGGGAACACCAGGAAAGAGAACAGCCAGCCCGCCUCAGUGAAAGACACACUUCCAGCUAUCUCCUCUCUAGACCUACCUCCCUGGGAGAUGAAGGGCCUCAAGGAAAUAUGGUCUCAUCUCUUCUCUACCCUGCAGUUUCUAUAUAAGCAGCCUCAAGGAGCUCGAGCCAUCUCUGAAAGGAAAUGCACAGCAAAUUCAAAAGGAGAUUCAAAUGUAUAACAUUAUGGAAAAACACUCAUGUCUGGGGCUGUAGCUCAAUUGGUAGAAGGUUUGCUUAGCAUGCACCAAGCCCUGGUUCUGUCUUCUGCAUUGCAUAAAACUGGACAUGAUGGCCCAGGCCUGCAAUCCCGGCACUCUGGAGGUGGUGGCAAAGGAGCCUACAUUCAAGGUCAUCCUCUGCUACACCCUGAGUUCUGAGCCAGCCUGGACUAAUGAGACUGUCUCAAAAAAAAAAAAAAAGCAUUGGUUAGUAAUUCAAAGAAGGCAGAUGUGGCUGAAAUCAUUUCCCCUGAUCAUAAUACAACAAGUAAAUGAAAGUCAAAAGAAGAGUCUUAUGCUUUGUGUGCGGCAGUGUCAACCACUGUAAGAGAUGCCUUUUGACCUAGUAACUUUCUGUUAGAAAUGUGUCAUAAAAUAUGGAUUUGGUUAUAAAAUGUUCAUCUCAGGGUUGUAGUACAGAAAAAGCGAAAGCAACUGUUUGGAAAUCCAUUCCUUUUCUGCUGUGUGAAAAUUUAUAGCUGGUAAUAGCUUAAGUAAAUUAUAUUCAUCUGACAGUGGAGUACUGCAUAGCCAUCCAAAGUCUUGUAGAAGAAAAAUUGAAUGGAAAUAUUAAAUAUUAACUACUGAAAAGAUGAUAAAAAGU
rnacentral:lncRNA from 1 species